rnacentral:lncRNA from 1 species
CCUCACUCAAUGUCAUGUGACGGGUGGAGAUGGGGGAGCUGUGACAGUGGCAAGCACAUCCCGGCCAGGCCCAGGAGAACAUGGGCUCCGCCAGCUCACCCCCUCCACAGCCUUUCCUUCAGAAGCCUCACUGUGGACACAGACUGCAACAGGCACAGUGUUAGAACUGCCAGGUACGAGGAGCCACGCAGUCCUCUGGGCAGCAGAAACCCGAGGCUCCGUGAGAGAAGUGACCCAGGAGAGCCAGCUUUCCACACGCGUACUGGAGCCACUGGCUCCUUUUGGCCACAGGGUCACAAAUAAUUCCACAGCUGUUAAUUUUGGCAGCCACUACCCUGGAGGCAUUAUGGGCUCAUGGUAUACUAUCUUCAUUGCCACCUCGGACAAAGAUCCUAUUGGCCAAAGGCACACAAGCAUCUUCAGGAAAACUAGAUUUAAAUGGUAAGAUUAAAAAACACAGUCAUGGCUGGGCGGGGUGGCUCAUGCCUAUAAUCCCAGCACUUUGGGAGGCCAAUGCAGGCAGAUCACCAGGUCAGGAGAUCGAGAC